CGUUGUGUUUGCACACUCUUCACCCUGCUCCUGCCCACUCUUCUUGUCACCUGCCCCCUGAUAACCCCAUCACUCCUGAAAGAUCCUUAGUGCCUGGAUUUUGUCAUCCAGCCCUGCAGGAUGCCCCCAUUUGUCCUGAGGAAGGCUGUCCCAGACAGAGAGGAGGAGAUGGAGGUGGAUAUUGAGAUUGAUAGAGAGGAGGAGAUGGAGACGGAGGGAGCAGACACUGGAGAGGAGGAGAUGGAGGUGGAUGUGGAGGUGGAAGAAGAGAUGGACGUUGAUACGGACGAGUCCAUUGAUGACAUGGACAUUGAUUAAAAGGGUGCGAUGGACAUCACAGAGACAUCACCCUUUUGUAUAUAUGUUCUACAGUUUGUUGUUGUCUUUAGAAUAUAGAUCGUAGGGCUAUUUUUGACUUCUGUAAAUAUGUUUCCCAUAGUUUUGCUAGGUAGGUUUUUCUGUAUAUAUGUUCUAUCGAUUGUUGUUGUUACAAAUAUUCUUACAAUGUAAAUGU